rnacentral:rRNA from 1 species
UUGAGAGUGGGGAUAUCAUGUCGAACGGCCUGCUAAUACCGCAUAACGCUAAGAAGCUGCAUGGCGUCUUAGCCAAAGGUUAAUUCCGCUCAAGGAUGGGCCCGCGGCCCCAUUAGCUAGUUGGUGAGGUAAUGGCUCACCAAGGGCGACGGGUGGGGGUAGCCGGGCCUGGAGAGGGGUGGGUCGGGCCCACACUGGGGACUCGAAGAACACGGCCCCAGAACUCCUACGGGAGGCAGCAGUGGGGGAAAUAUUUGCGCAAUGGGGGGAAACCCUUGACGCAGCGACGCCCGCGUGAGCGAUGAAGGCCUUCGGGUUGUAAAGCUCUGUCUUCCCUGACGAUAAUGACGGUAAGGGAGGAGGAAGCCACGGCUAACUACGUGCCAGCAGCCGCGGUAAUACGUAGGUGGGCGAGCGUUGUCCGGAAUUACUGGGCGUAAAAGGGUGCGUAGGCGGCUCUUUUAAGUGGGGAUGUGAAAAUCCCCUGGGGCUCAACCCCAGGAACUGCAUUCCAAACUGGAGAGCUAGAGUGCAGGAGAGGAAAGCGGAAUUCCCAGUCUAGCGGUGAAAUGCGUAGUGAUUGGGAGGAACACCAGUGGCGAAGGCGGCUUUCUGGUCCCCUCCGACGCUGAGGCAUGAAAGCGCGGGAGCACACAGGAUUAGAUACCCUGGUAGUGCACGCUGUAAACCGAUGGGUACUAGGUGUAGGGGGCGAAGCCCUCUGUGCCGCAGCUAACGCAUUAAGUACCCCGCCUGGGGAGUACGGUCGCAAGAUU